rnacentral:tRNA from 1 species
GGGAAUAUGGCUCAGUGGUAGAGUACUUGCCUUGCAUGCCUGAGGCCCUGGGUUCAAUUCCCCAGCACCA